AGAUCAUAUAAGAAUUCUGGGUCCUAAAAUGUCUGCCUAGGAGUUGUUACUAGACUCCAUUGAAUCCAAGUCCUGGAAACUCUUCAAAUACCAACUGCUAGCUACGAAAAUCUUUCUUAAUGCAAGCAUCCCAGAAUCGGCAGGCUUCAUCUGUGAUCCAUGAGAUGUAUCAACAGUCUGUUCAAGAGAUGGAUCCUUACUAUUUAUCUCAUUUUCACGUAUUGGGAAACCAU
rnacentral:misc_RNA from 1 species